rnacentral:tRNA from 1 species
CCGCACGUCGCGGGGUUGAAGCACCUGUCUUUACGCGACGGGCAACUGGACGGUCAGGCGAUGGCGGAGUUCGAUUCCGCGCGUCCGGACC